GCCUCGUUAGCGCAGUAGGCAGCGCGUCAGUCUCAUAAUCAAAUCUAGAAAUCUGAAGGUCGUGAGUUCGAUCCUCACACGGGGCC
rnacentral:tRNA from 2 species